rnacentral:rRNA from 1 species
CCUACGGGUGGCAGCAGUGAGGAAUAUUGGUCAAUGGACGAGAGUCUGAACCAGCCAAGUAGCGUGAAGGAUGACUGCCCUAUGGGUUGUAAACUUCUUUUAUAGGGAAUAAAAUGUUCGACGUGUGGGAUUUUGUAGGUACCAUAUAAAGAAGGAGCGGCGAACUCCGUGCCAGCAGCCGCGGGAAUACGGAGGAAACGAGCGUUAUCCGGAUUUAUUGGGUUUAAAGGGAGCGUAGGUGGAGUGUUAAGGCAGGUGUGAAAGUUUGCGGGUCAACCGUAAAAUUGCAGUUGAAACUGGCAGUCUUGCGUACAGUCGAGGUUGGCGGACUUCGUGGUGUAUCUGUGAAAUGCUUAGAUAUCACGCAGAACUCCGAUUGCGAAGGCAGCUCACUGUACUGCAACUGACACUGAGGCUCGAAAGUGUGGGUAUCAAACCGGAUUAGAUACCCGAGUAGUC